UCUCUUUCUGUCAGUUGCCUGAGUUCUCGCUUUCACUCUCUCUGUCCCUCUCUCUCUCUCUCUCUCUCUCUCUAAUUUAUUGACCUUCUUACCAUCUACAUAUCACUUAUCUUGUUAUCAUCUCUUUUGUUGCGCACUUGGCUUGUGAUGUGGAUAAGACUGACGCCCUUUCGUUAUCAAUUUCACUAUGUGUAGAUAUUAUUUACUUUUUUUUGUGUGUUAGUGUUGAAAUGGGUGCUUGCACGCUUAAGAAUGUUUGUUCUUUUCUUUUCUUAAGAAAGAGAAUGUUUGUUCUUAAGCAGUUUGGAGGAGAAAAGCUCAGAUUUAAAUAUGUGGGUUUAUGAUAAAUAUAAAUUUAAAGUGUGUUUUAUUUGUGUUUUUUCUAGUGGAUCUAGGAAAAGCGCGAGUUUUGAUGAUCAGAAAUCCCCACCGGUACACAUUCUUCUCAAAGAUUACUUAAUUUAUUGAUCGUCUCUUUUGUCAUUUUUGUUUGAGGUCAUCCGAGUUUUGUCUUCCUUUUUUUUGUUUGUUUGUUCAAGUUUCUGCAUGUUGAAAUUUUCUGAUGAUCUUAACAGCUACAUGAUGCAAGUGAACCUCGGAUUAUGAAGCUAUUUUUUUCAUUCUUCUGUCUUCUUUCGUUUCAAACCAGAUGUGGCUUUCAGGUUUCAGAUUUUCAGUUGAUCUAUUUCAUGUAGAUAGUAGUUCUGUACCGUUUUAAUGAGAAUAUGAUUUUUUCUAACGAAUAAGUUUGCAAUGAAGCACUGAAUCCAGCUGUUUAAUUGUUCUUAAAACGUCUUCCGUAUACAAUUUACUUUUUGGUGUUAGGUUUAUACGGAUUAAUGCUAAUUGGUGCAUUGAAGUCCAUCUUCGAAUGUGAUCCUGCAGUGGGUGGAUGUGACUCGCUUAAAUUGAUUUCUUUGCUUGUAGUGAUCCAAAAUGAAAAGAUUGAACCCUAGACCUAAUACUUUUCCUUGCAAGUUUCUUCAUUUUUGCUUCCAACUUUGCUAGGAAAUUGAUUUAGUUGCUUGUUUUGCUAAUUUCUUCCAAGUCGAAAAUGUUAGUUUCUGUUGAAAUGCUUUAUCUUAUAUGGUACCAAAGGAGUUUUAAAAUGUUAGUUUAUACCGAAAUCGUUUAUUUUCUGCUGCCAAAGGCUUACAAACCGUUUUUUUUUUUACUGAAAUGAUUGGUAUAAUGAAAGUUUCGGAAUUUACAAUAUUUCAUCUCAUUUACUGAAAUGAUUGGUAUAAUCUUGUUGGUUUGAUUAGUUGUUAUGCUGGUCAAGCUUAAUCUUUGUCUUUUCAUGAUAUACUUUUAUCAAAAUCAAGUUCUUUGUAAUUGAGGCCCUAGUUUUGCAGUGAUUUUGUUUAGUCUUCGUUGAUUGCUAAAUGCAAUAUAACGAGUUUAACUUAUAUGUAUAAGUUCGUGUUUCCUCUCCAUAAUAUUGACUCUAUAGGUCCUUAGGUUGUACCUGUACUUGUGUGAGUGUGCUUCCCCUUGAAAUUCAUGAUUGAAGUCUGGAAAUAGAUAACAAUGGAGACAGAAAUGUUAGAAAUAAUAUAUUUAUCGUCUUAAAUGGUUGGUCUUAAGUUACCUGAUUGAUCAUAUCUCAUCAGAUGUUACUGGUACUUUGCUUGUUUGAUCUUUACCUUUGUUGUGCAAGCUUAUUCUUAAUGUCUUCGAAAAGGUUUUUGUCAACUGGAUGCCUGGUUUUGCAAUGAUUUUGUCUAGUUACAGCUACAAAAGGCACUAUAGUAACGGAGUUUAAGAAGCAGUGUAGCCUGUUUGGUUUCCAUGAACGAGUUUUUGUUUGAUUAUACUCGCAGUAUAUAUCGGUAAGACUUUGUCUUGUGUCUGAUGAAAUCAAAUUGUAAAUCUAGUUAAUUACCUGUUCUAGUGUUUCAAGUGUUUCACCCUGAAAUUGAUAAACAAAGUCGCAAAACAGUUAACCAAUAGAGAGGCAUAGAUUUUUCCGUGUACAUCUUCACUAAGUGUUAUAGUCAGAUUCUGUAAGCGGAUAGAGAGGUGAUUCUGUUCGUAAACAGUCUGAGAGAUUGUAACUACAUCUUGUCAGAUUAUCAUAUUUUCACAACCGGCGGUUGAAUGUAGAGGCAGAUCCAGAUCAUAUCUCUGAUAUAAAGAUGGUGCAUCACACAAUAUAAUUAAGCUAUACUGAUUGUAAAAUAGGUAAACUAAAACAAAAGAAAACCUGUUGUGCUAAGGGGAUUUAUUUGUAACUUGUAAGCUACUAGGCGACUAUAAAGAUACUCAUUGUGAGAAAAAAGUAAUGUCGAUUGCCUUAUUUGAUUGCAAGAGGAUGAGAUCAAUAUCAAGUGGGGAGAUGAUAACUCAAAUAUAUAUUAAUUUCAAGGUUGGAAGUGUAGCAACCAGGUAAAAUGAUUGAUGGUACUAUGGAAGUACUAGCCAAAAUUUCUAGAGUUUUUAACUUAUUGAUCGUGGAGAAACAUCACCUCAGUUUAAUUCCAUUUUGCAUUAUGUGUGCUUUCAUUGCCUGAUUACUCAAUUAUUAAAUCCAAAAUUCGCAAUAUAAGAGCUUAAGGUGGUAUAGACACUUUCAGUGGUUAUCUUACAUUAGGAGAUCCGGCAUGGCGGCAUGGCUCCAUGUUUGCUUUACCCGAAAUGCUCUCCUUUAGCAUCUAGUAAUUCUUCUUACUAUGAGUUUGAUUGAUUCAAAACAAGGUAUGGAUUUGUGUUCUUAAAGAGUUUA